GCAGGUUCCAGCCCCGACCCGGGCGCGCGGGGCCGACUAGGGUCGGGUCCAGUGUGCGGUGGUCGCUCCGCUCCGGGCCGCUCCGCUCUGGGCGUCAGGGCGCGGGGAGCUGCCCCGGGGUUCUGUCCACCGGGGAGGAAAGCCACGAGCACUGAGCGCCUCCUGAGAGCCAGCCCUGACGUGAACUCAUUUUAUCUGCCACGACCCAGAAGGAGUCUACUGCUAAGAUUUCAGCAUGUCCUGUGGCUGAGUUAAUCAGAGUUAUGACAGGAAGGUACCGGGCACACCAUCGCAAUGCUCCAUCAAUGCUAGUAUGUUGUGUUCUUUCCUUCAUAUCAAGUCAACUCAAGCUUGCUCUACUUACCUGGUGUACACAGUCUAAGAACUGUAAGAAGACUGGAGCAAAACCACUCCCCUGACAGUUGAGGGUCAAGCUGCUCCUCUGACUGAAUUUGUGACCAAAAGAGAGCCACUCUUUUUCAACCAACAUCUGGAAGCCUUCAAGUGUCCUAUAAAAGGGAUCACUGAGUAACUGAACCAGGGAUGUCACCUAGGGCAUAAGCAGGAUGGAUUGUCAUUAAUUUUAGUUCUGAAAAAGGCCUAUUACUAAGAUAAAAGCACUUCCUUCUGAUGAUAGCUAAUUCACAAAUUUACCUGGACAGCAAAUUUGUUCACUAACCAUUCCAGGAUGGCCAAUAAAAUUAAUUUUGUAAACUUGCCAGUAAAAACUAAAGCUCAAAUUCAUUUUGGCUACAAGUUUACUUUCAGGGAAUUGAGACUUUAAUCCUUAACUGGCCAGUUUGCUGACAGCAACCUUUUCCUAAGUUAAUCAGAGGCCAGAGGAUCAGUUAAAAUCAAUUCUACUUUUUGGCAGAUGCAGAUUAAUGUCUUAAUGUAGUCUGAACUCACACUUUUCACUCUGGAGUGAGUUAAGGCGGGGCUUAUAGAGAGCCAGGGGAUGGACUGACAAAACCCAGGAAGGAUGGUCCACGCCUCACACUGCUGGUCAAGGGCUCCAUCCGCAAGCCUGCAUGGUACAUCUGUGGAUGGGAGAGCUUGAUGCCCGGAGCCAGAGCUCCAGGCUGCGUAGGGGCUAAGAGCUCAUGGUACGGAGUUUUCUGAUGGAUACCAGGUGCUGUUUAACACAGGACUUUCUCUGUCCAUAAACACAUUAGUCAUUAUACAAAAGAGUCAUCUGAAGAAUUUAAAAAUGACCAAAUGGAAAUAUAAAUAUAAAAUAUCAAAAAAUAUGUCUAAUAGUUUACUUGUGCAGUGAUGUCCCAGCCUUCCUCCAAACAGACCAAAACUGAGGAACCAUUCUCAAGUACUUCUGAUACAACCACAGCCAGCUGCAUUAUCCUGUGAAGCUAAGAGACAGGAAGGAGAACACAAUUAGACCAAGCGCUUUCUGAGUGCAGAAGUCAGAGAGAGUUGCUUUCAACCCUGGAUAAUCAAACGACUUAGGGAUAAAGCGCUUGCACAAAAGAACCACAUAAUGUUUUAAAUACCUAAAGUUCUUUCAAAUCAAGAUUAAACAAUGACACUUUUGACUGGAUGCAAUGACUCAUGCCCAUAAUCCCAGCACUUUGGGAGGCCGAGCCGGGCAGGUCAUUUGAGGUUCGGAGUUCGAGACCAGCCUGGGCAACAUAAGCAAGACCCUGUCUCGAAAAAUAAAAAUAAAAAAGAUACUCCUAUUUGUCUAUACUGUGUACUAAAUGAGAAAAAAACUUUCAAUAUAUUUGUGCUAAGUUUUUAAAGCCACAUCAAUUGGCUCAAAGUCCUUAAUAAACAAUUAAGGUAUGAGAAUAGUAUAUAGAUUUUAAAACCAGAUGUAUAACAUUGUAAUUUUAAAAAAUAUUUUAAUGAUCAUCAGACAUAAUUUGCAAUUUGAAUCCAACUCUGAACAAGAACAAAAAUGAAAAAACCCAUCUCUUAAACAGAGCUAGGCUACUUUAAACACAGGAAUAAGGCAAAUGCCCUACUCAGUAAUGAGAAGCUCCUCAUGUAACUGUUUCUACAACAUAGCUAUCACCAGGCCUGAAUUCUUUUGGGCUCAGAAUUUGUUCUAAGAAAUGGCUAUUAUUAAAAAGUCAAAAAAUAACAGAUGCUGGCGAGCCUGUGGAGAAAAGGGAAUGUAUAUACAUUUCUGGUGGGAAUGUAAAUUAGUUCAGCCAUUGUAGAAAGUAGUUUGGUGAUUUCUCAAAUAACUUAAAACAGAAUUACCAUUUGACCUAGCAAUCCCAUUACUGAGUAUAUACCCAAAGGAAUAUAAAUUGUUCUACCAUAAAGUCACAUGCACACACAUGUUCAGUGCUGUACUAUUCACAAUAGCAAAGACAUGGAGUCAACCUAUAUGCCCAUCAACGGUAGACUGGAUAAAGAAAAUAUGGUACAUAUACACCAUGGAAUACUACACAGCCAUAAAAAGAAUGAGCUUAUGUCCUUUGCAGUAACACAGCUGAAGCAAACUAACACAGGAAUGGAAAACCAAAUACUGCAUAUUCUCACUUAUAAGUGGGAGCUAAACAUUGAGUACACAUGGACACAAAGAAAGGAAUAGACGCCUGGGGCGUAUUUGAGGUUGGAGGUGAGAGGAGGGUGAGGAUAGAAAAACUACCUAUCAGGUACUAUGCUUAUUACCUGGGUGAUGAAAUAAUCUGUACACCAAACUCCCAAGAUAUGCAAUGUACCUAUACAACAAACCUACAU
rnacentral:lncRNA from 10 species